rnacentral:rRNA from 1 species
GACAAUAAAUCUCAAUACGAAGCCUUUUGGUUUUGUAAUUGAAUUGAGAACAAUGUACAAUCGUUAUCGAUAAACAAUUGGAGGGCAAGUCUGGUGCCAGCAGCCGCGGUAAUUCCAGCUCCAAUAGCGUAUAUUAACGUUGUUGCAGUUAAAAAGCUCGUAGUUGAAGUUGAGAGUUCGGAGGGGUGUUUGGGGUAAGUCUUUAGUGAACUGCCCCCUUCUCUCUGGCUCGAGUUCCAGUUGUUGAGAUUGAUUUUUUUUUCUCUACCGGGAUUUUAAAGGGUCAAUCAUUAAUCAGCGACUGGUCAUUUACUGUGAGAAAAUUAGAGUGUUUAAAGCAGACUUUAUUAAUUGAGUUUGAAUAGAUUAGCAUGGAAUAAUAAGAUUGGCUUUCAUAGUCGAUUUUUUGGUUUGUUUAUGAAAGCAAGAUUAAUAGGGACAGUUGGGGGUAUUCAUAUUCAAUAGCUAGAGGUGAAAUUCUAUGAUUUAUGGAAGAUGAACAAGUGCGAAAGCAA